rnacentral:rRNA from 1 species
GAUGAACGCUGGCGGCGUGCUUAACACAUGCAAGUCGAACGAUGAAAGCGGGAGCUUGCUCCUGCUGGAUUAGUGGCGAACGGGUGAGUAACACGUGAGCAAUCUGCCCCGAACUCUGGGAUAAGCGUUGGAAACGACGUCUAAUACCGGAUACGACGCGCGAAGGCAUCUUCUGCGCGUGGAAAGAAUUUCGGUUCGGGAUGAGCUCGCGGCCUAUCAGCUAGUUGGUGAGGUAACGGCUCACCAAGGCGACGACGGGUAGCCGGCCUGAGAGGGUGACCGGCCGCACUGGGACUGAGACACGGCCCAGACUCCUACGGGAGGCAGCAGUGGGGAAUAUUGCACAAUGGGCGAAAGCCUGAUGCAGCAACGCCGCGUGAGGGACGACGGCCUUCGGGUUGUAAACCUCUUUUAGUAGGGAAGAAGCGAAAGUGACGGUACCUGCAGAAAAAGCACCGGCUAACUACGUGCCAGCAGCCGCCGUAAUAC